rnacentral:rRNA from 1 species
AUACGUAGGUAGCGAGCGUUAUCCGGAAUUAUUGGGCGUAAAGGGUGCGUAGGCGGCUUGCUAAGUUUAAGGUGAAAGAGUGGGGCUCAACCCCAUAGAGCCUUAGAUACUGACAAGCUAGAGUACUGGAGAGGGUAGUGGAAUUCCAUGUGUAGCGGUAAAAUGCGUAGAUAUAUGGAGGAACACCGGUGGCGAAGGCGGCUACCUAGACAGAGACUGACGCUGAUGCACGAAAGCGUGGGGAGCAAAUAGGAUUAGAUACCCUAGUAGUCCACGCUGUAAACGAUGAAUACUAGGUAUCGGGGAAACUCGGUGCCGCAGUUAACACGAUAAGUAUUCCGCCUGUGGAGUAUGCACGCAAGUGUGAA